CCUACGGGAGGCUGCAGUAAGGGAUAUUGGUCAAUGGGGGAAACCCUGAACCAGCAACGCCGCGUGAGGGAAGACGGUUUUCGGAUUGUAAACCUCUGUCCUCUGUGAAGAUGAUGACGGUAGCAGAGGAGGAAGCUCCGGCUAACUACGUGCCAGCAGCCGCGGUAAUACGUAGGGAGCGAGCGUUGUCCGGAUUUACUGGGUGUAAAGGGUGCGUAGGCGGCUUGGCAAGUCAGUAGUGAAAUCCAUGGGCCCAACCCCGGGACUGCUCUUGGAACUGCGCGGCUGGAGUGCAGGAGGGGCAGGCGGAAUUCCUGGUGUAGCGGUGAAAUGCGUAGAUAUCAGGAGGAACACCGGUGGCGAAGGCGGCCUGCUGGACUGCGACUGACGUUGAGGCCCGAAAGCGUGGGGAGCAAACAGGAUUAGAUACCCUAGUAGUC
rnacentral:rRNA from 1 species